rnacentral:lncRNA from 1 species
CGGCCACUGCCCCUAGCCCAGAGCUGGCCAGAGUAGCUCUUCCGGAGAAGGACCGAAGGGCCGGGAAAAGGGAAGAAUCUCCAUCUCCGUUGCUUCUGCAGAGCAAAGGUUUGGAACAUUUCUGAAACUACUUUUAAAGAACAGUUUGCAAUAAGUUCCUAUUUCUACAAUACGAUUUGCUGGGGGAGUAUUGUGUAGAAACUUGGGCUUCCACCCGUCGUCCCCUCUCACCUUGAGGAGGCCUGGGUCCAGUCUGACCUCUCAGGUCGCUGUUCAAAUCUCAGCAACGUGCUCUCUUCCUCUUCUUUAGGGUGCUUGGCUCCUGCAGACUCCCUCCCAUUCUCUACCGGCACCGACCUCAACGGUAAGACUCAGCCUCCUUUUUUAGGACUCCACACUGCUUCUCCAAAGAACUAAGCUGGCUGGAGUCGAGACAAGGCGCCUUCAGUUUCUUCCUUUAUCUCCCGCCCUCCCCGCCCCCAGCUUUUCCUCUCCAGAGUGUGUGACUCAUUGGGUCCACCUUGAAUUCCCCUAGCGACCCACUGCCUUAGCCCGCAUCUCUCUACCCACAGGAUUGCCUUGCUUUCCGGGUGCAUGUGGGGGGACCUCAGUGCUGGUUCCACCACUUGGUGCCCUGAGCCUGGUAAACAGGGACACUCCCCCCCGCCCCCCCACUCACCGCAUCUAUGCUCUGAGUGGCCUUCAGGAGUCCAAGAUGCACAAAGGAGAGACAGUGCAGAGAGAAGAGGAAGGGAGGGGAUGGUGGUGGAGAUAAACCCAGCAUACACACACGCACACAAAACCAACUUUGGGAUUGGACUGUUUCUAUUUCAGACGACACGACCUGGAUGAAUGGAGUAUCCGGAGAAGGUUUUUGAAGACGUUUAGGAGGAAGGGUGAGUUUUCUGUUGAGAAACUCAAUCUGCCAUACAGUAGCGGGCCCCAUCUGGGAUCUGUCACUGCUGACAGCACCACAGGGCACAGCCGUGAUCUUCUGCACAGCCUGCACUCCUCGAAAUACCCUCCUUAAUCAAAGGAUGUCUGCGCGCCGGCGCUCAGCUGACCGCGCCAAAGCAGAGAGGCCUAAGAGUUCCACCCCUCCCGCCCCCUCCCCAGGCUCACAACCUCCCCCAACCCUGUCUUUCCAGAGCAUUAAUUAAAAGCGGAAAAAAGA